CAAGAAGUGUUUUCCGCUUCGGACCAUGCCUAAGUCCCUUGGAAAAGGGCAUCAUAGAGGGUGAUAAUCCCGUACAUGGCAUGGAGCGCCCGAAGCUUUGUGAUACGCUUUCUAAGAGUCGAGUUGUUUGGGAAUGCAGCUCAAAAUGGGUGGUAAAUGCCAUCUAAGGCUAAAUAUUGGGGAGAGACCGAUAGCGAACAAGUACAGUGAUGGAAAGAUGAAAAGAACUUUGAAAAGAGAGUUAAACAGUACGUGAAAUUGCCAAAAGGGAAGGGUAGGAGGUCAGAGAUGCGGCCUAGGAUUCAGCCUUGCUUUUGCUUGGUGUUUUUCCUAGGUUGCAGGCCAACGUCGGUUUUGGGCACUGGAGAAGGGUGGAAGGAAUGUGGCACCUCUCGGGGUGUGUUAUAGCCUUCUACUGGAUACAGCGACCGAGACCGAGGACAGCAGCGUACUCGCAAGAGCGGGCCUUCGGGCACCUUUACGCUUAGGGCGUUGGCAUAAUGGCC
rnacentral:rRNA from 1 species